AUUGGGUUUAAAUAAGACACCUGGCUAUAACAGAUGAUCAGUCAUGCUAUAGUCCAUAAACCAAGCUUAUUCAGCAAGGUCGACAAAUAUUACGAAUUCCGGUAAUCCGGGCUGAAGGAGCCACCUUUCACGCUGGGCCGAUGUCUGAGCCUCUUACGCAAAACUACCCAAUAUAUUAAAUUUAAAAGCUACAGCUUUAACAAUAUGAUUUGGGAAAUUCAAGAAUGCAAGUGUCUUGUCUUGUUAAACAAAAUUCAUUUUGUAGCAAAUCGAAAUAGUUACUACCUUCAGUAGUUUGUAAAUCUUUUAUGAAAAUCGAAGUUUCGGUAGCAGGUCAAAGGUAUUAUCAAUUCAACUGAAGGUAUUCAACUUACCAGAUAUGCUUCACAAGAAUGAUGUUAAGAUAAAAAUGAACCAUUUAUAAAAGAGAGUUCGGGGUCAAGAGGAAGAUAAGAAUCGCUUACUUUUAACCACAAGAGAAGUAUAGAAAUACUUGCCUUAACUCCAAUGUCUAGCCACGAUUCUAAUAGCACUAUACCGCACAAUCAUAUCUUUCUAAGCAGCUUCUGACAAUACUCUUUCUAUAUAUGUCUUCUCAGAUUAUUCUUGCUUCAACUUGCAACACCAUCGGAUUAAUUUUGAACAUUCUCGAUAUACACGUCUUGAUCUAUUCUACACGAUAGUAGGAUAAUAUCUCAGUCGUUGGAUUAGAAGAACUAGCUAAUUCCAAGUAGUAUAAGUACCGCGAACAUCUACCCUUCGCAUAUCCGUAUAUAUAGUAAACAUGAGUAUAGACAGAUAUCCACAUAACAAUAUAUACACAUUGGAUCAGUCGGCACAUAACCACAUAGUCAAUAAACAAUCAAUACAUAUUCCGGUCCACAUAGAAUAUAAUGCUAUUAGCCAUCAAAUAUCAAAUAUUUAUUAAUAACUAAACACCCUUAAUUUCUAACAAAAAUUCGGCAGCAUUUCCUCUGUUUAUCGGACAAUCCACCUGUUUGCAAUACCAACCACCAUCCAAUACUAUUGCUAUCACAUGAAUUACUAUUAUAAAAAGAUGGCUUGACUUGCAGUAAACACAUAAAAAAAUCUGCCUUAACUUUUAGGGAACAUAUUAUAAAAUCUUUUAGCAAGAUUGCUAAUUUGUUAUAUGCAAAACACGUUUAAUUAAAUAUACAAGGUCAACUGAGCCAAUCUAUUUAAUAAUCAACCGUAUGCAAUUAAUCAAGUAUAACCUCGUAUUAUGCACUAACAAAGAAAGAAAACUAGAGCAAAUAAUUCAAAUAACCCUCACUCUAUGAUUUUUAAUAAAUUGAAAAUUUAUCGUUUCAAUACGAGAUUUUUAUGAGACACUCUUACACAUUAUUCCAACCUACUGUAAAAUUUUCGGAAAGAAAAUCCAAGCUUAAAGCAGUAAAACAGGCCUGUCAAUCAGGCACCAGAAACUGUUUUGCAAAACCAGCCCGACGCUAGAAUUUUUAAUAAAUAGAAAACUUGGUCUGAUUGUAUAAAAUUUUAAUGAAAUAUUCCAGAUACUAACAUCCAACUCUGGUAAAAAUUUCAGAAGCAAAGCUCGAGUUUAAGGUAGCAAAACAGGGCAUGGAACAGGACACAUAAACCUGCCCAGAAUUUUCAGCGCGUACCAUACUAAAACGGUCAUAUCUCCUAGCUCGCUAAUCGAAUCGAUUCGAUUCUUUCGCGCACAUAAACUAGACUCUGAAGAGCAUAUAAUCACAAAGAAAUUGAGCAUAUCACUCGAAUUUAACAGUCCAGAACAGAGCUACAAAACAGGACAGUGUUGCUGCGAAAUUAAGCAUAGUUCGAAAGUUAUGCUUCAAAUACUCAAGUUAGCUCAAUCCAAAUAUUCUAGACCUGAACUUACACUUAAACUCUUAAAACACCAUUCUGAAAACAUUUGUACAAAAUAUCAAACCUGAAAGCUUGAAUACCCAGUUAUAUAUUCCCGUAAUUCAAGUACCUAAGUCAUCCGAUUAUACAACUAGUUGGCGUACUAAUUAUAAUCGACCUUCAACAACCAAUUCAAAUAUCAAUUAAGCACACAAACAACCCAUGGCCAAUUACCUAUAACACAUAUGCAUAACAGGUGUAUAAGCAAGCAAUUUGCCUUAAUUAUUUAAUUAAUCAAUACUAAUCCCCAGCAAUUUAGUCCUCUAUUAUGCACAUAGCACAAUCCAUAUACACAUAUAUACACAAUUACUAACUUUAGUUUGUCCUUAAUCACCCAAUUAAGUGUGAGCCCCGAUUAACACAUAACAAUACAAGUGAAAUUCACAUAAUCAGAUUAUACCCACAAAAUACAUGUAAAUCGAUUAUAAGAAUUUUAACAGAGCUUUAUACCGAACUGUGUUGAACUCGAGGGGUGGAAUAAAGCUUGUGUCGUCGGACAAACAUGCCACAGCUGAUGCAGGUUUUGGAGACUCAAUAAUAGAGAAACCUGGAGAGAAAAGAAUCGAUAACUUCCGACCGGGAAGAAGCAGGAGGCAUGGACAAGAAGAAAUUCGCGGGUGACCACAACAGGUUUGGCCGGAAUCGGAACCAGCGGCGGCGACUUGUCUGGAGCAUAUCGGUCAGCGGGGAAGUUUAACAGAAUAGAAGGGAGGCUGUCGACAGAGAAAAGAUUUCGAAAGGGGGAGAGAUUAGAAGGAGACUGAUGUUUGAGAUAAAAAGGAAGAAGUAUUGUGUAUAUACAAAGGCGGUGGUGGAAUAAACGGUGGCGGUGCUAAAAAAAGGGGUACGUGGUUAAGUCUUUUACUUCCACGUGCCCAUAAUAAUCUGAAGACUCGGACCUGCUUUUAACUAAAUUAUCGGAAUAUCUCGCUAUUAUAAUAUCUUGGAAACAUCACCAAAAUAUUUUUAUAAAUCCCGGAAUAUUAUAAAACUAAUAAAAUAAAAGUUUCGGGAUUUAUGAGAGAAAAUGCCCUAAAUAACUAAAAAUUUAGGACUGUGUGUCCAAAAUACCGAGACUCAGUAACACCGUCUUUUUUACCCACUGCCAUACGCAUUUUCUGAAUGCGUAUACAAAUACAAAGCUUAGUAGAUUCCAGCUGUUCGUCUUUUUUAUUUAAUGAAAACUCAUCCAUCUCCUUCCUUAUAUGUCUCAUCUUUAACCUGAUGUAUCAACAAAAACAAACGCCCAAUUGAACACAUAUAGGGAUUGGGUUAUAAAAGAAAAAGGGGUUAGGGUUUUAUAUUUCAUCAAUCAAAUUGAAUGUUUGUAUCGAUUGGGUUAUGAUUCGAAAUGGCUUCUAUAUAUUCGUGGGAGUGUAUGGUGAUGAAUAGGGUGGCAAUGGUGUUUGUGUAGUUGUUGUCGGCGGCGUUGUGAAGGUAUGUGCGGGGGUUGAGAUAGGGAGCUGGUGGAGGUGGCUUUGCAGGGCAGCUCUGUUAUUUGAUCAGUAUACAGCUUCAAACGCAUGUGAAUAUAGAAGAAAGGGAGUAGUCACAUACGCAUAUGGUGUAGGCGUAUAAGAUGUGCUCACGCAUCCACCAAAUGCGUGUACAGAAUCUGGUGGGAAAAUAUAUGUAAAACUGUUAUGAUACUUGUGUAGAUGCAAUUAAAUUGUAACACUCGCAUGUGAGAAAUGCGUGAUUACUGUAUGCGCAUAUACAAAAUGCGUCUUCAAUUGGAUAUAUAGGGCACAAAUUCAGUCAGUCAGUAUUUUGGGCAUUCCUUCUUUAUAUUUAGGUAGAUAGGGCCUUCACCCGAUUUAUGAAGCAUUACUGAAAUUUAUACGUAAUUUAGAAGUUAAUUGUGUUCAAGAAAUAUUUAAACAUGAAACUUCUACAAAAAUAA
rnacentral:lncRNA from 1 species